rnacentral:lncRNA from 1 species
CUGAUCAGCCUCUGGUUUACCAUUCUCCAUGCUCCAUUUCCAUGUCCUCCCCUUGCCUCGUGUUCAAUCCUUCCAAAGCCUGUGAAAUAGAAAAAGAGUUCCAUGUAUAGUAUUGGCUUCUCAUGCUCCUGUCUCUUCACCUCUACCUUCUGCUCUGGUUGAUUUCUCAAUCUCUAAUGGCCUGAGCAUUGAUCCUGAGCUAUAAAUCCGAGGCCCUCUGUGGUCGAAGGUUCAUAUGAUGCUCUGGCCCAUCUUGGCUUACUCUCACAUGGCUCUCUGGCUUCUUCAUGAUCUCUUCCCCGACUUUCUCAAAUUUACUCUCCAAUUGAUAUUUUUGACAAUUUUCGUUCUUUUCACUGCUAGAGAAAGAUGAACCACAUUUAUGAAGACAUUUGUUUUCUUCAUCGAUUGAGAAAAAUGAAAAACGCGCCUUUGUAUUACCUGCCUCUUUGACAACCACACCUUGGACAUCUUUAAUCGCCGGUAACUUGGAGAAGAAGCUCAUAUCGAGUCCAAUUAACUGCUCAGCUCUAAAAUCCAAGUGAGAAUUUUCAACUCUACAAGAUUUUUUUCUGUCCUUGAAGUUUUCAAAACGGCAAUUAGAACUAAAAUCAGUUCCUGAAAAAGCUCACGAACUGUCCUAGAAAAUUUUUCCUUGAGAAACUGAAAGGCAUGGAUACUGAGCACUGCUUUCAUAUGUAAGGGCAUAAAUAAGGGUAAAUGUAUUGUGCUAGGCUCAUCGCAAAGGUAGUAUGCAACUUUUAUGGAGAUCCAAAUAGAAGGGUGACCCUCUUUGUAUCCUGUAAUGCACCAAGAGGUGAUUGGUC